UUGUUUUGCAAUAUUCUUGACUUAGUACUACAAUGCAGUUCUUAAAUAUUACAGUGUUAUUGGCAAUAGCUUUCGUUGGCUCUUUAGCCACGAAAACAUCAUACGGAAAUUCAGAGCAUCUUGGGAAAUGUGUUUAUUUAGAUCUUAUACUUUCACCGGGAGAGCAUGCAAAACCUGCAAAAAAAUGUGAACGAUUCCAUUGCGAGGAAGGCCUUAAAGGAAGAGUUGAACCAUGUGAUUAUAAUUUAAUCAUUUUGGAGCCUCCUUGUUGGUGGAGUGAUGAAUUAGAAGAUCCUAAUCAGCCAUUCCCUCAGUGUUGCAUGAGAAAAGUUAUUUGUCCCCCUGACAGGGGUAACUAGACAAGGUUAAUUUAUUAAAAUUUCUAGCGUAUUCCUUAACCUUGUGGUAAUGAAGAAAUUGAAUAAAACAAAUAAAGAAUAUUUUGAAUAUUUUA
rnacentral:sRNA from 1 species